GACGAACGCUGGCGGUAUGCUUAACACAUGCAAGUCGAACGAGAAGCUUUUUAAUGAUCCUUCGGGUGAACUAAGAAGUGGAAAGUGGCGAACGGGUGAGUAACGCGUGGGUAACCUGCCUCAUGGAAAGGAAUAGCCUCGGGAAACUGGGAGUAAAGCCUUAUAUUAUUGAGUUGUCGCAUGGCAAUUCGAUGAAAACUCCGGUGCCAUGAGAUGGACCCGCGUCCCAUUAGCUAGUUGGUGAGAUAACAGCCCACCAAGGCAACGAUGGGUAACCGGUCUGAGAGGGCGAACGGUCACACUGGAACUGAGACACGGUCCAGACUCCUACGGGAGGCAGCAGUGGGGAAUAUUGCGCAAUGGGGGAAACCCUGACGCAGCAAUACCGCGAGAGUGAAGAAGGUUUUCGGAUCGUAAAACUCUUUUAUUGGGGAAGAAGAAGUGACGGUACCCAAUGAAGAAGUCCCGGCUAACUACGUGCCAGCCGCCGCAGUAACAC
rnacentral:rRNA from 1 species